GAACCUAUCUCGAACCCUUUUCUUUAUGAGGGGGAUCGAGGAACUGAGUAAUUCCGGUUCUCGUCAACUGGGUUACUUGAAAUGAGGGUGCAUCAAUCUCCCUUGGGUUCGUAUUCCUUGGCCUGAAAGCAUAUCUAUUUAGUCCCGUCAAAAGGAUUAUUACUUUGCUGAAAGUGCUAUAGGGGAGCCUGAGAGGAGUCUUGCCUCGAAUACAGGAACUCUAAUCAUAA
rnacentral:misc_RNA from 1 species